rnacentral:rRNA from 1 species
GGGUACCCGCGACAGGACGGAAAGACCCCGUGGAGCUUUACUGUAGCUWGAUAUUGAAUGUUUGUGCUGCAUGUGCAGGAUAGGUAGGAGACUUUGAAGUCGGAACGCUAGUUUCGAUUGAGUCACCCUUGAGAUACUACCUCUGUUGUAUGAACGUUCUAACUCUGAUCAGUUAUCCUGAUCGAAGACAGUGUCUGGCAGGCAGUUUGACUGGGGCGGUCGCCUCCUAAAAGAUAACGGAGGCGCUCAAAGGUUUGCUCAGAAUGGUUGGAAAUCAUUCGUAGCGUGUAAAGGCAUAAGCAAGCUUGACUGUGAGACUGACAAGUCGAGCAGGUACGAAAGUAGGACUUAGUGAUCCGGUGGUUCCGUAUGGAAGGGCCAUCGCUCAACGGACAAAAGCUACCCCGGGGAUAACAGGCUCAUCUCCCC